rnacentral:tRNA from 1 species
GACCUGAUGGGGGAACGGGUACCCGUUGGCGGUGCAGCGUCAAAUAUCUGCGGUUCGAGUCCGCGGUCAGGUCUCCA